GAGAGAGACAUGCGCGCAUAUCAAUAAGCGGAGGAAAAGAAACUAACUAGGAUUCCCUCAGUAACGGCGAGUGAAGCGGGAAGAGCUCAAAUUUGAAAUCUUCAAGGUUCUACCUUGACGAAUUGUAGUUUAAAGAAGUGUUUUCUGUUGAAGUUUUGGUAAAAGUUCUUUGGAAUAGGACAUCAUAGAGGGUGAGAAUCCCGUAUUUGACCAUUAUUUCCAGCUUUGUGAUACACUUUCAAAGAGUCGGAUUGUUUGGGAAUGCAGUCCAAAAUGGGUGGUAAAUUUCAUCUAAAGCUAAAUAUUGGCGAGAGACCGAUAGCGAACAAGUACCGUGAGGGAAAGAUGAAAAGAACUUUGAAAAGAGAGUUAAACAGUACGUGAAAUUGUCAAAAGGGAAGCGUUUGACACCAGUGUUGUUUUUCUGAAAAUCAAUUAAAGAACUGUUUAUGCUAAGUUGUUUAGACUUUAUCAGCUAACUGUUUAGUUUUGAGCUUUUCUUUAAUGCACUUUUCAGUUAACAAGUCAACAUCAAUUUCUUUUGUUGUAAAAAGGUCAUUGAGAAGGUGGCUUGAGCUUUUCGGAUAAGUGUUUAUAGCCUCUUGCCUCUGCAGUCGGAGAGAUUGAGGUCUGCAGCGUAGAUCCUUCGGGGUUAGAUACAUUUGUGCUAAGUUAUAGCCUUUCAUAGACAACUUGUUGACUAUGAUCAGUCAUGUAGCUUACUCGCUUAUGCUAUUUUACCUACGCUUAGGAUGUUGAUGUGAUACUGCGAGCA
rnacentral:rRNA from 1 species